rnacentral:rRNA from 1 species
UACGGAGGGGGCGAGCGUUGUCCGAAGUUACUGGGCGUAAAGAGUGUGUAGGCGGUGCUCUAAGUCUGUUGUGAAAUCUCCCGGCUCAACUGGGAGGGUGCGGCGGAAACUGGAGUGCUCGAGUGUGGGAGAGGUAAGCGGAAUUCCUGGUGUAGCGGUGAAAUGCGUAGAUAUCAGGAGGAACACCUGUGGUGUAGACAGCUUACUGGACCACGACUGACGCUGAGACACGAAAGCGUGGGUAGCAAACAGG